UGUAAUACAUGCUCGGAAAACAUUUCCUGAUCUUCACUGAGAGCUGCUUUGAACAUUACUAUGGAUUCACAGGGCAUGUCUUAAAAGUUGGCAUCCUUCAUAAUUGUAUUUUUCUAUUCAAUUAAAAAGUGUUUAGUAAACUCCUUUCUGAUACUAACAGAGUGAGGUCCAAGAGGAAGGAUGCCAGAUAUUAUUUCUCAUACAGGAUAGAUCUUCAGAUUGAUAAAGAUAUAUAUGGAAUCACAAUGAUCUUUGCUACAGUUGUUCCAUCUGCUGGAAAGUUUUUAUCCAGGUAUUUAACAGGAAAUAUUUUGUUCUGAAAAUGGCUCUUCAAGCUGUAGACCAACAAAAUACCUCCUUCUCUACUAUAGAUAUACAGCUGCAAGAAUCAGGAAAAGGUGAAAAUACAAGAAAGAGAGAAGCAUAAGAUUGUGACUUUUAGUUUCAAAGGUUGAGCAGUUAGUGAGACAGGCAUAGAGGCAUGUAUUUAAGAGAUGUUAUUUUAAGUCGUUAUAUGAGAAACUAAUGUAACAGAAAUGGAGUAGGACUAAAUAAUUUAUAUACCCAUAACUGUAUUCCCUGGAUAUUCUUGGUGUCAGAGUGAACAAGUUGUUCCAAAGCGGCCUCAUUCAAGGAAAUCUAAAAGAAUAGGCAAACCUUGUAGAAAAUGUAUUUGAAUGGCCCUAAGUAGCUAGGCUAAGCCAUAAUCGAGGGCUCUUGCAUCUGUGUGCUGCUCAGGAUGAUGGAUGGUGUAAGUGCAGCCUGAUUAAUGUCUGGGGAUGGACAGAGAGCUAAUGCAGGAGAGUCAGCAGCUUGUAAAUAAAUCUAUUACCCACAUCUUGGAUGAAUCUGACCUUUGUAGUGCCAGAGUGGAUGACAAUACAAUGCACUGGAAUCAAGAGGCAGCUCCAAGAAAAAUCUGUACUUCAUUUUGAAAUAAAAUUUUAAUGAUGAGCCAAUAGCAGA